GGGCUUCCCUGGUGACUCAGUUGGUAAAGAAUCUGUCUGCAUUGCAGGAGACUCGUGUUUGAUCCCCGGAUCAGAAAGACUCCCUGGAGGAGGAAAUGACAACCCACUCCAGUAUUCUUGCCUGGUGAAUUCCAUGGACAGAAGAGUCUGGCGGGCUACAGUCCAUG